AACAAUAUUCAAAACAUUCAGCAUAUUGCACAUACUUGCAGAUAUUCACAGAUAUGGUCAUUUGUCGAUUUUAGGUCUUAGUGACUGGUUCCCCUGACUUGGAUUUUGAGACUGUUCCAAAUCGCUUCAUUUUCCAAAUCCUUGCUGUGGGCUCUGAUGGAAACGGUGACAGUGAAACACUAACAGUGCUCCUCACAGAUGUAGACGAACCUCCACUUUUCUUGGAUGAAGCAUCAGUCCUUUAUAUCCUUGAGAAGACACCCCCAGGACAGAUUUAUGAACCAAGUGUUUCUGAUCCAGAGAACAAACCUCUCUCUUUUAUGCUCAUUCCUGUGAACCCCACAUUCAGUGUAGAUGGAAGUAAAGGCACAGUUUUUACCACAAAGGAGUUAAAUUACCAAAUUGAUCCAAGAAGUUACUCAUUCUACCUUUCAGUAAGUGAUGGAAACAAUACAGUCCUGAGAACACUGAUCAUCAAUAUCAUGAAUAUCAAUGAUGAUAAACCCAUCUU